rnacentral:rRNA from 1 species
AGAGUUUGAUCCUGGCUCAGAUUGAACGCUGGCGGCAGGCUUAACACAUGCAAGUCGAGCGGUAACAGGAGAAGCUUGCUUCUCGCUGACGAGCGGCGGACGGGUGAGUAAUACUUAGGAAUCUACCUAGUAGUGGGGGAUAGCUCGGGGAAACUCGAAUUAAUACCGCAUACGACCUACGGGAGAAAGGGGGCAGUUUACUGCUCUCGCUAUUAGAUGAGCCUAAGUCGGAUUAGCUAGUUGGUGGGGUAAAGGCCUACCAAGGCGACGAUCUGUAGCUGGUCUGAGAGGAUGAUCAGCCACACCGGGACUGAGACACGGCCCGGACUCCUACGGGAGGCAGCAGUGGGGAAUAUUGGACAAUGGGGGCAACCCUGAUCCAGCCAUGCCGCGUG